UACGGAGGGCGCAAGCGUUGUUCGGAAUCAUUGGGCGUAAAGGGUGCGUAGGCGGUCGUGCAAGUCGGAUGUGAAAUCUCAGGGCUCAACCCUGAAACUGCAUUCGAUACUGCGCGGCUAGAGUGCUGGAGGGGAGACUGGAAUUUACGGUGUAGCAGUGAAAUGCGUAGAUAUCGUAAGGAAGACCAGUGGCGAAGGCGAGUCUCUGGACAGCAACUGACGCUGAGGCACGAAGGCCAGGGGAGCAAACGGG
rnacentral:rRNA from 1 species